CGCAGCAAACGUAUCCACCGACGAUAAUCGCCACGAGAUGACCAAGAGCAAUAGUUAAUGUACCAGCCACAAAGUACAGCAUUCCACGCCCCCAAACAUACUUGACAAAUAAUGCAUUCCUGUAGAUUGUGGCCUCGAUGCGAGAGAAGAAACUUAGACUACGACCGUACUCCAAAACAAUCAUGAUGAUGCCCAAAAUGAAGGUAUACACCUCGAAUAUUGCCGAUACCCAUUGGAACAUUACGACGUCAUG
rnacentral:ribozyme from 1 species